AUUGAACGCUGGCGGCAGGCUUAACACAUGCAAGUCGAGCGGGGUGAUGGUGCUUGCACUAUCACUUAGCGGCGGACGGGUGAGUAAUGCUUAGGAAUCUGCCUAUUAGUGGGGGACAACAUCUCGAAAGGGAUGCUAAUACCGCAUACGUCCUACGGGAGAAAGCAGGGGAUCACUUGUGACCUUGCGCUAAUAGAUGAGCCUAAGUCGGAUUAGCUAGUUGGUGGGGUAAAGGCCUACCAAGGCGACGAUCUGUAGCGGGUCUGAGAGGAUGAUCCGCCACCCUGGGACUGAGACACGGCCCAGACUCCUACGGGAGGUAGCAGUGGGGAAUAUUGGACAAUGGGGGGAACCCUGAUCCAGCCAUGUCGCGUGUGUGAAGAAGGCCUUAUGGUUGUAAAGCACUUUAAGCGAGGAGGAGGCUCUUUUGGUUAAUACCCAAGAUGAGUGGACGUUACUCGCAGAAUAAGCACCGGCUAACUCUGUGCCAGCCGCCGCAGUAA
rnacentral:rRNA from 1 species